rnacentral:rRNA from 1 species
UAGGGAAUCUUCGGCAAUGGGGGGAACCCUGACCGAGCAACGCCGCGUGAGUGAAGAAGGUUUUCGGAUCGUAAAGCUCUGUUGUUAGAGAAGAACAGCGCAUAGAGUAACUGUUAUGCGUGUGACGGUAUCUAACCAGAAAGCCACGGCUAACUACGUGCCAGCAGCCGCGGUAAUACGUAGGUGACAAGCGUUGUCCGGAUUUAUUGGGCGUAAAGCGAGCGCAGGCGGUCAAUUAAGUCUGAUGUGAAAGCCCCCGGCUCAACCGGGGAGGGUCAUUGGAAACUGGUUGACUUGAGUGCAGAAGAGGAGAGUGGAAUUCCAUGUGUAGCGGUGAAAUGCGUAGAUAUAUGGAGGAACACCAGUGGCGAAGGCGACUCUCUGGUCUGUAACUGACGCUGAGGCUCGAAAGCGUGGGUAGCAAACAGG